AUGAACGCUGGCGGCGUGCCUAAUACAUGCACGUCGAGCGAACGGACGAGAAGCUUGCUUCUCUGAUGUUAGCGGCGGACGGGUGAGUAACACGUGGAUAACCUACCUAUAAGACUGGGAUAACUUCGGGAAACCGGAGCUAAUACCGGAUAAUAUUUUGAACCGCAUGGUUCAAAAGUGAAAGACGGUCUUGCUGUCACUUAUAGAUGGAUCCGCGCUGCAUUAGCUAGUUGGUAAGGUAACGGCUUACCAAGGCAACGAUGCAUAGCCGACCUGAGAGGGUGAUCGGCCACACUGGAACUGAGACACGGUCCAGACUCCUACGGGAGGCAGCAGUAGGGAAUCUUCCGCAAUGGGCGAAAGCCUGACGGAGCAACGCCGCGUGAGUGAUGAAGGUCUUCGGAUCGUAAAACUCUGUUAUUAGGGAAGAACAUAUGUGUAAGUAACUGUGCACAUCUUGACGGUACCUAAUCAGAAAGCCACGGCUAACUACGU
rnacentral:rRNA from 1 species